rnacentral:rRNA from 1 species
GGGGAAUAUUGCACAAUGGGCGCAAGCCUGAUGCAGCAACGCCGCGUGAGUGAUGAAGGCCUUCGGGUUGUAAAGCUCUGUCUUCAGGGACGAUAAUGACGGUACCUGAGGAGGAAGCCACGGCUAACUACGUGCCAGCAGCCGCGGUAAUACGUAGGGGGCAAGCGUUAUCCGGAUUUACUGGGUGUAAAGGGAGCGUAGACGGUUAUGUAAGUCUGAUGUGAAAACCCGGGGCUCAACCCCGGGACUGCAUUGGAAACUAUGUAACUAGAGUGACGGAGAGGUAAGUGGAAUUCCGAGUGUAGCGGUGAAAUGCGUAGGUAUUAGGAGGAACACCAGUGGCGAAGGCGGCUUACUGGACGAUCACUGACGUUGAGGCUCGAAAGCGUGGGGAGCAAAC